CCUACGGGAGGCAGCAGUGGGGAAUAUUGGGCAAUGGGCGCAAGCCUGACCCAGCAACGCCGCGUGAAGGAAGUAGGCUUUCGGGUUGUAAACUUCUUUUAAGGGGGAAGAGCAGAAGACGGUACCCCUUGAAUAAGCCACGGCUAACUCCGUGCCAGCAGCCGCGGUAAUACGUAGGUGGCAAGCGUUGUCCGGAUUUACUGGGUGUAAAGGGCGUGCAGCCGGAGAGACAAGUCAGAUGUGAAAUCCACGGGCUCAACCCGUGAACUGCAUUUGAAACUGUUUCCCUUGAGUGUCGGAGAGGUAAUCGGAAUUCCUUGUGUAGCGGUGAAAUGCGUAGAUAUAAGGAAGAACACCAGUGGCGAAGGCGGAUUACUGGACGAUAACUGACGGUGAGGCGCGAAAGCGUGGGGAGCAAACAGGAUUAGAUACCCCAGUAGUC
rnacentral:rRNA from 1 species